rnacentral:misc_RNA from 1 species
AACGCACAUUGCGCUCCCUGGCAUUCCGGGGAGCAUGCCUGUCCGAGCGUCAUUUGCAACCCUCAAGCCCGGCUUGUGUGAUGGACCAGCGUCCCCACGUCACCUCCCUCUCCGGGGGGUGCAGAUCAGGGACGGGUCCGAAAUGCAGUGGGUGGCGGCGCGGUAGGACCGGCCCGCAGCGUAUGGGGCAUCGUCACACGCUCGCGGCGUCGUACCGACGUCACCCUGACCGUUCACCAUCUGAAAUGACAGGUUGACCUCGGAUCAGGUAGGGAUACCCGCUGAACUUAA